AAGCUAAAGGCUCAUAUGGAGAAGAGCCAGAGUGUGGGGAUAAGGCAAGGAUUCUCCCAAAGUCUGGGAAAAGACCCAGGAUUGCAAGGUUGAAGGCAUCAGCACCACAAGACCAGGAAAGGACUAAGGAAAAUCCAUUAUGUGCUAACAGUGGUGUUCCUCUGCCCGGAAGAUUGAGUAGCUGGUAAUCUUUGAUGAAAAAACAGCUGUCUUGAUUUAAUUACCCAGUGUGGAUAAUCCCAAAUGAGACAAAUCAAUUAGAAAGCAGGUAGAGAGUGAAAAGGAUGCUGGGUUCAGAGACGGACUGGCGUCUAGAGACAGCCGCAUUCGUUUUCACUGAGAACAGCUCCUUGACGUGGCUGUGGGCCUCGUCCAGAAGAUAAAGCAUGCUUUCCAAAGCGUGCACCGAUGCUGCAGCCCCUGAGUGAGUCUCCUGUUCUAAGCCAUAUGCAGAUGACCAAAAAGAGAAGAGAUUGCACUUUGCUCCUGGAGGAAAAAAGGAAAUACACUGGACCCCAUGAAAAACAAGCACGGAGAACUCCAACGCAGCCUCAGCAAAGAGGCUAUUGAGAGAUCGAUUAUACUUGCUGUCCCACUGGGCGAAGCUGGGAGGAGACCCCUGCACUGACUGACCAUAUGAACUUAGAAAAUCGGAUUUGGUCGUGCUCCCUACAAAAAAAAAAACUCAGCUGGCAAUGACUUCUCACCUCAUUAACAGAGCCCAAGUUACGGUGGCCAGUCUGUAACAGAUAGAGAGGCACUUUGAGUGUUGGGCAAGUUGCUAAUAAUGCCUCCAGUUUACUUAGAAGAAUGAUGAUAAACAGCAUAGGGGUUUUUUUAAUAUAUGGCAGAUGAACUGGAUUGCCUUUAAGCGUACAGACCGUUGGGGAUGCUCAGAUCUGGACCCAUGCCUUAGGAGGAGAGCCCCUCUUGGCUUUCCAUCACCAGGCAAGAGCACAGCAACUCCUGAAAGGGUCUCGGGACCUCCCAGUCCCAGCUGACCUCCUGUUCAGUACCUUGCAGAAUCAGGCCCAGUUUCAGCAUCUUAACUUCAGUAUGGAUGGGUGAAAAUAACCCGUUGCUCCCACCUGCUUCUCAUGACACUGUGUGGGCGAUGAUCCUCAACCUUGACUGAACACAGCAGAAGGUCCUGAAAUCCCGAGAUGUUUCCACCUUACAAUCACCUGGGGUUUUUUUUUUAUGUUCUCAUCAUCUGAGCAGGAUGCACCACUCGUGAGGAGGGGUCGUUGUGGCUUUUACAGACUGCGGGGCUAGCGGAUGCGCUGGACUGUGUGUAAGAAGGGUGUCUUAAUAUUGUAUUUGGCCAGAUUUCUGAUGCGGUUUCCAGAUAGCCUUAAUCCUGAAGCCCUUAGUCCCGGGAGCAGUCCCUAAUGACAUGCCUCAACAGGAUGGCCAGCUUCUCAUGCUCUUCCUCCUGCUGAAGAGCACUUUACUCCAUGCAUGUAAUUUUGGUGACAUAGGAAGAGGCAGUGUGAGGAAUCAGAAGCUGGCCCGCCAUUAUGAGACGGCACAGGACUUAGGCUUGCUUUCAACAUCUUAUUCAAACCCAGGAUGAACUCCAAGUACGUUGACGCUCCUUUCUCUUCAUCUCUAUGAUGGUCUCUCAUGAGAGUCACUACUGGAUGACAGAGGACGGCGUUUUUGCUUUAGUGAUGUGGAUGGAAAGGUGAGAAAAAUCACGGUGAAAACCUCAUACCCUCCUAACGUUGCUCCUGCUCUUCAAAAAUUACAACGCGUGU